AUGGUUCAGAUUGCCGUGAAUAUAUAUAUAUAUGCGCUGGACUGACUGGGCUUCUUUAGAUAGCGUGCCGUGAAGAGGGGUAUAGUCGUGAUUUAGAAAAGAAAUUAAGGUCAGAAGCGUCUUUCUCUAUCGUCGAUGGCCUUUGUCCUUCUAGGGUUUUUGUUUUGCCUCUUAACCUCUAUUUAAAGACAAAACUCCCCGCAAUGCGUUUGCAUCGUCUCUGCUUCCUAAGGAGGUAAAGGCGAUCCUAACCACUGGAUAAUGUCCUGAGAAUGCCAGAAAUGGUUCAGAUUUGAUGGAAAAGGGUUAGAGAUCCGAAUGGCUACAUGUUCGGACACUGAAUGUAAACUGUUAGUCGUCCAUCUCAGAGCGGGUGUUACUCAACGAUGAUUUCCCUGUUCAAGCCACAGGGCUCAAUUUUUCCUAGAUCCGAUAUUCCAAUCUUACGGGAUUUUUAAUGUUGUAUACCGGGCUCUCCAAACCCGAAGGUAAAAACUGCUGGGCCCACCAUGAUGUAUCUAACUUUUCCACCCUGAUCAUGCCCUCCGCCAGCUCAUUUCAGGUCAUAAGCCUAAAAAUAAGAAGGUUGGAUUUCACCAUAGGAAACGUUGGGAAUUGAAUGCCCAUGGUUGAAAACUUCUUGAGGGCCCAGAAGUUUUAGAUCAAGCCGAUAUUUUUGUUUUUCCCUUCAUCCAUGUUUUUGUGACCUUGUGAAUGUGAAUGGGUUAGAUGAUGAUUAAACAUCAAUGUAGGCUCACAAAAUGAAACAACUUUUAAGAGUCAAUGUUACAUGAA